ACAUUUUUAGCUCAGUAGGAAAGAGCAAUAGCCUUCUAAGCUAAUGGUCAUAGGUUCAAAUCCUAUAAAAUGUU
rnacentral:tRNA from 1 species